rnacentral:rRNA from 1 species
UAAGACGGGGGGGGCAAGCGUUGUCCGGAAUUACUGGGCGUAAAGGGCGCGUAGGCGGGCGCGUACGGCGGUGGUGAAAGCUCCCGGCUCAACUGGGAGAGGCCCAUCGCAACGGCGCGUCUUGAGGGUGGUAGAGGCGGAUGGAAUUCCUGGUGUAGCGGUGAAAUGCGUAGAGAUCAGGAGGAACACCCGUGGCGAAGGCGGUCCGCUGGGCCAUGCCUGACGCUGAGGCGCGAAGGCCAGGGGAGCGAACGGG